UUCAUCUUCGUCUCCUCUCCAUUAUUUCCAAAAUUUCCCGGACUAUAUCCCGACCGAUGAUUCGUUGAAUCGACGGUGGAGAUCUAUUAAGAGCAGCAAAAAUGUUUUUUUUAUUUUAUUUCAUUAAAUCUAUACAUUUCAGAAAUGUACGUACAUACACAAUCGCCUCGCAUCCCCUCUCUCGCGAAACCAAAAUCGACUACUGUUGUUUCCGAUUCUAUCUCUCUCUAAAAUCCAAUCACUUUCUUUCUCUAUUAGAUCCCUAAAUUUUUGCACUCCGUUUCAAAACCCUAGCGAUCGAGCAGCUGAUCAGUUCUCGUUUUUCUCAGUGCAUUGCGACGACCACCGCUUUGUUUCUUGAAUUCAAUUUCUAUUCCUGGUACGUAUUGUUUCUGUUUCUGUAUUGUUCAAGUAUCUAAUUCAGUCCUAAUUUCGGUGAACUGGAUAGUGAAACAAUACGCGCCGGAAUCAGGACAUGGGUGCUUUCUUGGUGCUGAUUUUUUGUGAAUUCAGGGAAGGGUGAUGAAAAUUGGAGGAUGAACGAUGCCGGUGCUGCGUGGCGGAGUGCGCAGAGGCCGGAGAGGGAACCAGAAGCAGGACCAGCCACUGCCGGAUAAGGACGGCGACAACGUCGGUAAGAAUCAGAAUCAGGACAAUAAGAGAAGUAGGCAGCCGGCAGN
rnacentral:lncRNA from 1 species